rnacentral:rRNA from 1 species
GAGGAAUAUUGGACAAUGGGCGAGAGCCUGAUCCAGCCAUGCCGCGUGCAGGAAGACGGCCCUAUGGGUUGUAAACUGCUUUUAUACAGGAAGAAACACUCCCUCGUGAGGGAGCUUGACGGUACUGUAGGAAUAAGGAUCGGCUAACUCCGUGCCAGCAGCCGCGGUAAUACGGAGGAUCCAAGCGUUAUCCGGAAUCAUUGGGUUUAAAGGGUCCGUAGGCGGGAUAAUAAGUCAGCGGUGAAAGUCUGUGGCUCAACCAUAGAAUUGCCAUUGAUACUGUUGUUCUUGAGUGUUUAUGAAGUGGUUAGAAUAUGUAGUGUAGCGGUGAAAUGCUUAGAUAUUACAUGGAAUACCGAUUGCGAAGGCAGAUCACUAAUAAAAUACUGACGCUGAUGGACGAAAGCGUAGGUAGCGAA